AGUUUACAACAUGAUAGUGAAAACAUUUCAAAGACAUGGAAAGUGAUCAAUUACUCAAUAAACCAUCAUGAGAAAACCGGCUACUAUUUUUCGAAAGCUUGAUAUCGGAGAAGGACUACUGCAAGUGCUCUGUGCUGGACCAGGGUGACCAAGGAGAUAAAUGCUUACUUGAAAGCAUGCCCAAACCACCUACAUAAUUAUCAACAUGGAACUUCACGGGCACAAAAGUUUUAAAUACGACUUUUGACCAAACACUGGCUGUGUAAUAACUAAUCCUAAUAACCUAUUCUAACCUAAAUGUAACUCCCACGAACACAAACAUAAAAAUUAUAUCAUUAUCCUUGGUAA